CAGCUGUUUCUGCAGUGAAGAUGGGUGCACAUCUUUCUGUACUGUACUGCUAGAAAAAUAGAUUUCAUUAAAGAAUAUUAAUCUGUUUGUAAUCCCGAUUUAUGUAGUGAGUUUAUUCAUUUAUGUAAAUAUUCCAAGAUAAAUAGCUAAUAAUGAACUGUGCUUUCCAACAUGUUGUGUAUUUUUCUGAUCAAGUCAAUAAUUGUGAGAUAAUACACAGUGUCUUUUCACAGACUGAAAGAAAACUGCUCCCCAGCGUUCUUUGGCUGCUGACAUUUCCUCCAAAUUCUGCUCAGUGAGAGAGAAGUGGACCCAAACACCUGCCUUCCUGGUGAGCGGAUGUUCCAACCUGGAUCAGCCGAGCCAUCACAGCUGAUCCAACCUGACUCACACACAAUUUGAAUAAAAUCAUAUCUACAAACA